rnacentral:lncRNA from 1 species
UUUGGUUAAGCUGUUUUUUGUUUCUUUUCAAUUUUGCAACUUCUCUUUUUUUUCAAGGUGCACUCACCUUUAUCAAUGCUCCACAACUAUCCCAAACUUAAAGGUUAUUAUUCCAACAACAACCCCAAACUUAGAAUCAAGCACAUAUACAAAAAUAAUAUACAAAAACUCUAAACAGGGUAGGAAAGUGUUUAGGCCAAUGGCUCAUGAUGUGG